GGGGGAUUAGUUAAUUUAUAACAUUAACUUGUCAAGAUAAAGUAAUGAGUUAAACUCUCAUAUCCCCCU
rnacentral:tRNA from 1 species